GUGAAGAUGCAGUGUACCCGCGGCAAGACGGAAAGACCCCGUGAACCUUUACUAUAGCUUGACACUGAACAUUGAGCCUUGAUGUGUAGGAUAGGUGGGAGGCUUUGAAGCGUGGACGCCAGUCUGCGUGGAGCCGACCUUGAAAUACCACCCUUUAAUGUUUGAUGUUCUAACGUGGACCCGUGAUCCGGGUUGCGGACAGUGUCUGGUGGGUAGUUUGACUGGGGCGGUCUCCUCCUAAAGAGUAACGGAGGAGCACGAAGGUUGGCUAAUCCUGGUCGGACAUCAGGAGGUUAGUGCAAUGGCAUAAGCCAGCUUGACUGCGAGCGUGACGGCGCGAGCAGGUGCGAAAGCAGGUCAUAGUGAUCCGGUGGUUCUGAAUGGAAGGGCCAUCGCUCAACGGAUAAAAGGUACUCCGGGGAUAACAGGCUGAUACCGCCCAAGAGUUCAUAUCGACGGCGGUGUUUGGCACCUCGAUGUCGGCUCAUCACAUCCUGGGGCUGAAGUAGGUCCCAAGGGUAUGGCUGUUCGCCAUUUAAAGUGGUACGCGAGCUGGGUUUAGAACGUCGUGAGACAGUUCGGUCCCUAUCUGCCGUGGGCGCUGGAGAACUGAGGGGGGCUGCUCCUAGUACGAGAGGACCGGAGUGGACGCAUCACUGGUGUUCGGGUUGUCAUGCCAAUGGCACUGCCCGGUAGCUAAAUGCGGAAGAGAUAAGUGCUGAAAGCAUCUAAGCACGAAACUUGCCCCGAG
rnacentral:rRNA from 1 species